rnacentral:tRNA from 1 species
ACGCGUGAACAGGAGUUGACGUAAGUCGUUGAUUCCCCGUCGGACUCCGUUUUCUAAUCCGAAUGUCGCAGGUUCGAGUCCUGCCGGGCGUGCCA